AUAACUCGAUAAUCCACGAAAACACAACCUUCUUUAGACACCCAGCAUGUGUACUGCCGUUGUAAGCACACCUCUAAAAGGAUAAGUAUGCCGCUAUGAUUAGCCAAUUCAUAUACAUCAGGUCAAAGUGCAGCCAAUAAGAAGGUGACGAUGGGUUACAACCCUAAAAAGGACUAUCAAUAAAGUAAUAAAAAAUCUUAAGAAAGUGGACUUGGUUGUAAUCAACUUAUAAGCUAAAGAAAUGAAUAAAAAUCUAAGACAUGUACACAUCGCCCGUCACUCUAUCCUAAAGGUUAGAUAAGUCGUAACAAAGUAGGUGUAAUGGAAAUUGUACCUGUCGGAGUAUAGCAUAUAUAAUGCCUUUUACUUACACUAAAAAUAAAGUCUAAUAACUUACUUCGCACAUUAAAAAUAACCCUACAAAUUAUAUGUAAUAAAAACAAUUAAAUAAUCACUAAUUAUAAAGUACAGAAAUGGAAACAACAAUAAAUAAAAGUAAAUCUUAACAAAUAUACCUUGUGCAUUAUGGUUUUACAAGAUAAUUAUUAAAUACAUAAAUCCCGAAUUCUACAUGAGAUGUUAAACUGCUGUUAAGAACCCACUAGUAACUGUAGAAAAAGGUUUAAAAGACAGUGUAACAGAGGCUACAUACCAUCCGCAUUAGAAAAUAGCUGGUUUUCAGCAAACAUUAUACAUUAAAACAUAUAAUUAGAUUAUAGUGUAACAUUAUUGAGGAUAAGCCCAAUAAUUUAAACAAUACCUAAAUACACCUAUUUCAUGUCAUAGGCCUAAAACCAGCCACUGAAAAUACUUUACCGUAAUAAAUAUUGAUAUAAUUAAUAUACUUCCAUGUUAAAAUAAAGUUGAAAUGAUGGGUUAACUGCACACACCCACCCCUACUAUGUAAAAAUAAGUAUUAUAAUAAUAUAAGCUAUCUAACCAAGAAAAUUACAACAAUAAAUAAAUCAUAAUUAAUCAAGGAACUCGGCAAACCACUAUUUCGACUGUUUAACAAAAACAUUGUCUCAUGAGCAUAAUAUGAGAUAAUACC
rnacentral:rRNA from 1 species